rnacentral:tRNA from 1 species
UCCCCGAUAGCUCAACGGUAGAGUACCCGGCUGUUAACCGGGUUGUUGUUGGUUCGAAUCCAACUCGGGGAGCCA